rnacentral:rRNA from 1 species
CGUAGGGUGCAAGCGUUAAUCGGAAUUACUGGGCGUAAAGCGUGCGCAGGCGGUUAUAUAAGACAGAUGUGAAAUCCCCGGGCUCAACCUGGGAACUGCAUUUGUGACUGUAUAGCUAGAGUACGGUAGAGGGGAUGGAAUUCCGCGUGUAGCAGUGAAAUGCGUAGAUAUGACGGAGGAACACCGAUGGCGAAGGCAAUCCCCUGGACCUGUACUGACGCUCAUGGCACGAAAGCGUGGGAGCAAACAGGAUU